CGUCACCACGAGCGCGAGAAGUCGAAGGUGUAUCAGUAUGAAGCAGGCGGUGACGGCGCACUGAUUCACUCUCGGAGCUCGGUUCACUAAUGACCGAAUCACCGAGGAACCGACCAAAGAUAACUCACACCCGCACGGAGAAGAAGAACAAGAGGAGGAGAAGAUGAACUGGAGUGGGGCAAAGAGAACUGCAUUCAGAUCAAACGGAUACAAGAGAGGUGGCCGAGUUGUUUGAGGAUCUAAAGAAUUGAGUGUCACAAUUCAACAUGCACAUCAGCGAAACUUUUCCCUCUGACUACACCAGCACGCACGCACAGAAAUUCAUAGUGCAGGUGGCGAUUGCAGGCACAUUUUAUCCGAACUGCUUCCUCCAGGGAACUCUAUGGAAACGACCCCAGGACCACCAUAGUGGUGUGUAAUCUCCCUCCAUUUGCAUUCCUCUGCUAUAAACAGCUCCAGUCUCUCUUCAGACACUGUGGUUAAAUCAAAUCCAUCUCCUUUGACAGCUCCAGGUGUGUGUGACACCACUGUGUGUGUGUGUGUGUGUGUGUGUGUGUGUGUGUGUGUGUGUGUGUUUAAUUGUGAUUUUCUAUAAACAUGUAUUGUGGGUCUGUGUGUAUCAGGGCCUAUGUAGAGUUCUAUCGCUCGUCAAUGAGAGGUUCUGGCGUUCUCCCAGAGGUCUCUCUGUCUCUCCUUCUCACGCAGAAGAGACUUCCUCUCCAUCUCAACGUUUAACCCGCUGGAGAGGUGGAGACUUGGGCAGGGGGGUAGUGUAUCUCACACCUCAGAUAUACACGGGUGAAUGUGGAUUUUCAGAAUCAGUCAGUGAGCCCUGUCGGGGUUCUGAGCAGCUCCAUUGAGUUGGAGAAUCUUCCGUCUAACCCUGUCUUUAUCGUCAAUAUCACCGAGGUGUCUGUUCCGCCUCUUUCACUUUCAGUGCACAAAUAAAAAAGAAGCAGUGGCUCCUGUGUGUGUGUGUGUGUGUGUGUGUGUGUGUGUGUGUGUGCACUAACAGGAGGUCCAGGUGCAGCCUUUGGAUAUUGAUGAAGAUUUACUGCCCCUGCAAGACCUUCCUCAACUGCGUAGUCUGGAGCAAAGGAUGCAACAGAGCCCAGAUUACAAGCAAAAUCUGGUAAACUGGUUGGCGCUUAUUGACGGGGUGUAUGUGCGUGACUGCACCUGGCGCAUAUUGAAGAGGGUGAUUGCUAACUCCCUGGCAAAGAAUCUCAAUUGGAGGGGAGUCAAUGGAAAGACUUCACUGUCCGCUCUCCAACUCGGAGACUUCGUGAUUGGAGACGCACCUACGUCUUAAAGUAUUAAAGAUCAUCAAAGGUUACUCUGCCCUUGGGUGAGUCAAGUCUUCCACUCGAACUUUAAUUCGAAAGCAAGAGGGGUCGCUAUUUUAAUUGACAAAAGGUCACAGUUUUCCUCCACUAACGUUGUUGCUGAUGUGAACGGUAGAUAUAUUAUAGUUGCUGGUACUCUGAUGCAAAGACAGGUGUUGUUGGUAAAUGUACACGCUCCAAACUUUGAUGAUGUGGAAUUUGCUAAUAGAUUGUUGAGCAAUCUCCCUUUUUAAAUACUCACCUGUAGAUUUUCGGUGGAGAUUUAAACUGUGUAAUUCACCAAAACUUUGAUCGGUCUAAUCCCCGUACUCUGAAUCAAUCUGCAAUGUCUAAAACAUUUUCCGAUUUUAUGGGUCAGAACGGUCUCGUUGAUCCCUGGAGAUCCCGUAACUCUGCUCUUAAAAAGUUUUCUUUCUUCUCCCAGGUGCUAUCCUAUUGAAAUCCUAUUCGAGGAUUGAUUAUUUUUUAUAGACGGCACUCUUGAUUCUUGUGUAGUUUCUUCUGACUAUUUGGGUAUUGUAAUUUCUGACCAUGCGAUCAUGAAUUAGAUAUUCAUCUUUCUAUUUAUAAACGUAGCCGACCGCCUUGGAGAUUUAAUUUUCUUCUUUUAGCAGACAGUGAAUUCUGUGAGUUCAUUUCUACUUCUAUGGAUGACUUUCUUUUCUUCAGUCAGAAUGACUCCACCUCUUAUUCAUUGUUAUGGGAGACACUUAAAUCCUAUAUCAGAGGGCAGAUUAUUUCUUACUCCACUCUCUGUAAUUAAAAGCGCACUGCUAGGGUUAAUGAACUUACAUCUGCGAUCAGUAGUCUCGAUCAAAGAUGUGCGUUGAACCCCUCUCCAGAACUUCUUAAACAGCGAAUCGACUUACAGGCAGAAUUCAAUCUUAUUUCGACUAAAGAGGCGGAACGCUUGUUGUUACGUACUCCUGGUUCAUAUUAUGAACAUGGCGACGAGCCGAGUCGUUUACUGGCACGUCAGCUACGGCGACAGGCCGCUUCCCGUCUCGUACCUAGUGUUAAAAACACUCAUAAUAUCGUCACUACAGAGCCCAUGGAAAUGAAUGCUACUUUUAAAUGGUUUUACUCUUCACCUUAUAAAUCUGAAUUUCCUGCAGACGAUACUAAAGUGAAUGCAUUUCUUCAAGACCUUUGUAACCCUGUUAGUGAUUCGAAUACUGCCAUGCAACUGGACUCCCCACUCUCUUCAAGAAAUUUGAAUUCAGUUAAAACUAUGCAAUCUAACAAAGCUCCUGGCCCGGACGGGUUUCCAGUUGAAUUUUUAAAAAUGUUUAUUGGAAAAUCAGCUCCAUUGCUUUUAUCUGUGUUCAACGAAUCCUUGGAAUGUGUCUUUGCCUCUGACUCUGACACAAGCCACGAUAGCUCUGCUUCUUAAGGAGGGUAAGGAUCCAACCUCCUGUGGUUCUUAUAGGCCGCUGUCUCUGCUUAAUGCAGAUGUAAAGGUGUUGGUGAAAGUAAUGGCAUCUCGUUUAGAGGACAUUAUCCCUUAUAUUAUAUGUGAAGAGCAGAUGGGUUUUAUAAAGGGACGUCAGAUGUUUUUCAAUACCCGUACGCUCUUUAAUAUAAUUUAUUCAAAGCAUUCGGCAGUGCUUCCUGAGAUUGUGAUUUCAUUAGAUGCUGAAAAAAGCAUUUGAUAGGGUUGAGUGGGAGUAUUUGUUUGCAGUCUUGAGGAAGUUCGGAUUUGGGGAUGAGUUUAUUUCUUGGAUUAGCCUCCUUUACUCAACCCCUAAUGCCAGGGUUCAGACAAACGAUCUCGUCAAGGUUGUCCUUUAUCCCCUCUGCUUUUUGCUGUCGCUAUCGAACCUCUGUCUCUCGCAUUAAGAUCUUCUCCCUUGUUUAAAGGAAUAGUUCUAUACGGUGUAGAAUACAAAUUGUCGCUAUAUGCUGAUGAUUUGUUAUUGUAUGUAACCGAUCCUGUUGCCUCUAUGCCAGCUGUCUUGGCUGUUCUGGAAUCCUUCGGUGUUGUCUCUGGUUAUAAAUUAAAUUUGGAUAAAAGCGACUGUUUUCCUGUCAAUACUGCAGCAUUUUCUCUCCAACAGUCAGAUUUACCGUUUCGAUUUAGUCAGUAAGGGUUUAAAUACCUAGGUAUCAACGUGACACGUUCUCUAUCUAAUCUUUCAUCAGCUAACUUCACUCCCCUUAUCUCAAAGGUUAAAUCUAACAUUCAGAUUUGGGUAACUUACCCCUUUCUCUAAUUGUCAGGAUCAAUGUCGUCAAAAUGAAUAUAUUACCGAAGUUUCUUUUCUUGUUCCAGCAAGUGCCUCUUUCUCUGCCAAAAUCAUUCUUUGAUUCAUUGGAUAAGAUAAUUAGUACUUUUAUUUGGGGAGGGAAGCCACCAAGGGUUAGUAAAUUAUUGCAGAAAUGUAGACUUAGUGGAGGACUUGCAUUACCCAAUUUUCAAUUCUAUUACUGGGCUGCGCACAUCCAUAAACUCUGCUACUGGGUUAAAUCUCCUGGAUCUUCUUGGUCUAAAUUGGAACUAUUGUCGUGUAGGGAAUCCUCUUUACCUGCUUUACUUUAUUCCUCUCUACCUACAAAACUCUCCCUAUAUACUGGUAAUCUAGUUGUCCUCAACACUUAUGACUUAGGACUUAGUAUCAAUUUAGACGGCGCUUUAAAUUUGUAGGUGCAUCCUCUUUGUGUCCUUUAGUCAACAACCACCUAUUUCCUCCAUCGUGUUUGGACUCCACAUUCUCAGUGUGGGAUGACAAGGGUAUUGAACAAGUUAGAAAUCUGUAUCACGAAGGUGUGUUCGAUAGCUUUGCCAAUCUGGCAUACUCUUAUGACCUCCCUGUGACUCAUUUUUUUUGGUAUUUUCAAAUUCGGAAUUUCGUUUCUAGAUGUUUUCCUGAUUUCCCCUCUGCGCCUCCUGAACAGGCUUGGGAAAGCUUGUUUUCAAACAAUCCACAUCAGAGAGGAAUGAUUUCUAGGAUUUAUGAUUUCAUUCUGGCGUUAGGUAGUGAGUCGUGUAACAAAGUUAGGAAUGCGUGGGAAACGGAGUUAGGAGUACAGAUAAGUGAGGGGUGUUGGGAACGUGCUAUAGGGAGGGUACAGUCUACCACUUCCUGUGCUCGUCUUGGACUCAUCCAGUUCAAAGUUUUACACAGAGUCCAUCUGUCCAAGUCGAGACUUUCUGUGAUGUAUCCGGACGUAGAGGACAAGUGUGAUAAAUGCCAUGGCUCUCCCUGUCAUCUUGGCCAUAGGUUUUUCUUCUGCCCUGAUCUCCAUGGUUUUUGGACUGUUUUUUUACCAUCAUGUCCACUAUUCUCAGGGUAGAUUUAAAUCCUUGUCCAUUGAUUGCUGUAUUUGGGAUUCCUGAUGCCUCAGUUCCAUUGAGCUUGAUACAAAAGGAUGUUUUUGCUUUCACAUCCCUUAUAGCAAGACGUUCCCUACUGUUGCAGUGGAAGUCUGCUAAAUACCCAUCUAUCUCCCAGCGGCUAAAGGGCGUGAUGUUUUUUCUGAAACUCGAGAAAAUAACAUAUAGGAUGAAUGGUUGUACGGACAAGUUUUUUUUAUAAAGGGCAUCCCUUUAUUGUAUACUUUAUGGAGUUAGACACUUCCCACUUAAAUUUUUGUGCCUGUUGUUGGAUUUUACAAUCUCUUUAUAACCAGCGACAGUUAUUGGGUAUCCAUGAUGAGGCGGGGGGCGGGUUUUCUGCAUUUUUAAUUUUGUUUUCCUUUGUUAGUGAAAAAAGAAGAAAAACCUGUGAAUGUUUACUGCUGUGUGUUGCUCAAUUUGUUUUCCUUGGGAAAGGGAGGGGAGGAGAGAAGAGAAAAGGUGAUGUUCAGUUGACAUGUAGACGUGUUCAGGAGAAAUGUUCAAUAAAAAUGAAACUGGA